UACGAAGGGGGCUAGCGUUGCUCGGAAUCACUGGGCGUAAAGGGUGCGUAGGCGGGUCUUUAAGUCAGGGGUGAAAUCCUGGAGCUCAACUCCAGAACUGCCUUUGAUACUGAGGAUCUUGAGUACGGGAGAGGUGAGUGGAACUCCGAGUGUAGAGGUGAAAUUCGUAGAUAUUCGGAAGAACACCAGUGGCGAAGGCGGCUCACUGGCCCGGUACUGACGCUGAGGUGCGAAAGCGUGGGGAGCAAACAGG
rnacentral:rRNA from 1 species